GGACCGUUGGCGCAGUGGUAGCGUAUCUGAUUCCAGUCCAGAUGGUCACCCGUUCGAAUCGGGUACGGUUCA